GCAUAUCAAUAAGCGGAGGAAAAAGAACCAACAGGGAUUGCCCCAGUAACGGCGAGUGAAGCGGCAAGAGCUCAAAUUUGAAAGCUGGCUCCUUCGGGGUCCGCAUUGUAAUUUGCAGAGGAUGCUUCGGGAGCGGUCCCCAUCUAAGUGCCCUGGAACGGGACGUCAUAGAGGGUGAGAAUCCCGUAUGGGAUGGGGUGUCCGCGCCCGUGUGAAGCUCCUUCGACGAGUCGAGUUGUUUGGGAAUGCAGCUCUAAAUGGGUGGUAAAUUUCAUCUAAAGCUAAAUAUUGGCCGGAGACCGAUAGCGCACAAGUAGAGUGAUCGAAAGAUGAAAAGCACUUUGAAAAGAGAGUUAAAAAGCACGUGAAAUUGUUGAAAGGGAAGCGCUUGCGACCAGACUCGCUCGCGGGGUUCAGCCGGCAUUCGUGCCGGUGUAUUUCCCCGCGGGCGGGCCAGCGUCGGUUUGGGCGGUCGGUCAAAGGCCCUCGGAAGGUAACGCCCCUAGGGGCGUCUUAUAGCCGAGGGUGCAAUGCGACCUGCCUAGACCGAGGAACGCGCUUCGGCUCGGACGCUGGCAUAAUGGUCGUAAGCGACCCGUCUUGAAACACGGACCAA
rnacentral:rRNA from 1 species